rnacentral:rRNA from 1 species
GUGGGGAAUAUUGGACAAUGGGCGCAAGCCUGAUCCAGCCAUGCCGCGUGAGUGAUGAAGGCCUUAGGGUUGUAAAGCUCUUUUGUCCGGGAAGAUAAUGACUGUACCGGAAGAAUAAGCCCCGGCUAACUUCGUGCCAGCAGCCGCGGUAAUACGAAGGGGGCUAGCGUUGUUCGGAAUCACUGGGCGUAAAGCGCACGUAGGCGGACCAUUAAGUCAGGGGUGAAAGCCUGGAGCUCAACUCCAGAACUGCCUUUGAUACUGAUGGUCUCGAGUAUGGAAGAGGUUGGUGGAACUGCGAGUGUAGAGGUGAAAUUCGUAGAUAUUCGCAAGAACACCGGUGGCGAAGGCGGCCAACUGGUCCAUUACUGACGCUGAGGUGCGAAAGCGUGGGGAGCAAACAGGAUUAGAUACCCCAGUAGUCC